CGUGAGCGGCGGACGGGUGAGUAACGCGUGGGUAACCUGCCUCAUACAGGGGGGUAACAGUUGGAAACGGCUGCUAAUACCGCAUAAGCGCACAGUACCGCAUGGUACGGUGUGAAAAACUCCGGUGGUAUGAGAUGGACCCGCGUCUGAUUAGGUAGUUGGUGGGGUAACGGCCUACCAAGCCGACGAUCAGUAGCCGACCUGAGAGGGUGACCGGCCACAUUGGGACUGAGACACGGCCCAA
rnacentral:rRNA from 1 species